rnacentral:rRNA from 1 species
AGCUCCAAUAGCGUAUAUUAAAGUUGUUGCAGUUAAAAAGCUCGUAGUUGGAUUUCGGGGCGGCCUGGCUGGUCCGUCGCGAGACGAGUACUGGUCAGCCGCCCUUCCUCUCGAAAGCCCCGACUGCUCUUCACUGCAGUGGUCGGGUAGUUCGGGACGUUUACUUUGAAAAAAUUAGAGUGUUCAAGGCAGGCUUUCGCCUGAAUACAUUAGCAUGGAAUAAUGGAAGAGGACCUCGGUCCUAUUUUGUUGGUUUCUGGGGCCGAAGUAAUGAUUAAGAGGGACAGUUGGGGGCAUUCGUAUUUAAUUGUCAGAGGUGAAAUUCUCGGAUUUAUGAAAGACGAACAACUGCGAAAGCAUUUGCCAAGGAUGUUUUCAUUAAUCAAGAACGAAAGUACGC